GAUGAACGCUGGCGGCGUGCCUAAUACAUGCAAGUCGAGCGAACAGACGAGGAGCUUGCUCCUCUGACGUUAGCGGCGGACGGGUGAGUAACACGUGGAUAACCUACCUAUAAGACUGGGAUAACUUCGGGAAACCGGAGCUAAUACCGGAUAAUAUAUUGAACCGCAUGGUUCAAUAGUGAAAGACGGUUUUGCUGUCACUUAUAGAUGGAUCCGCGCUGCAUUAGCUAGUUGGUAAGGUAACGGCUUACCAAGGCGACGAUGCGUAGCCGACCUGAGAGGGUGAUCGGCCACACUGGAACUGAGACACGGUCCAGACUCCUACGGGAGGCAGCAGUAGGGAAUCUUCCGCAAUGGGCGAAAGCCUGACGGAGCAACGCCGCGUGAGUGAUGAAGGUCUUCGGAUCGUAAAACUCUGUUAUUAGGGAAGAACAAAUGUGUAAGUAACUAUGGACGUCUUGACGGUACCUAAUCAGAAAGCCACGGCUAACUACGUG
rnacentral:rRNA from 1 species